rnacentral:pre_miRNA from 1 species
GUAUAUCUGCGUGUGGAUGGUUUUCGAUGCCAGGGACAGGUAUGCUUGACUGCGUGUGGAUGGUGUUCAGCACCAGUGACAGGUAUGUUUGAGU